GGGCAGUUAGCUCAGUGGUAGAGUGCUUCGUUCACACCGAAGAGGUCGCUGGUUCGAGUCCAGCACUGCCCACCA
rnacentral:tRNA from 1 species